AUACGUAGGGGGCGAGCGUUGUCCGGAAUGAUUGGGCGUAAAGGGCGCGUAGGCGGCGCGGUAAGUCUGGAGUGAAAGUCCUGCUUUCAAGGUGGGAAUUGCUUUGGAUACUGCCGCGCUUGAGUGCAGGAGAGGUUAUCGGAAUUCCCGGUGUAGCGGUGAAAUGCGUAGAGAUCGGGAGGAACACCAGUGGCGAAGGCGGGUAACUGGACUGAAACUGACGCUGAGGCGCGAAAGUGUGGGGAGCAAACAGGAUUAGAUACCCUGGUAGUCCACACUGUAAACGAUGAAUGCUAGGUGUAAGAGGUAUCGACCCCUUUUGUGCCGGAGUCAACACAAUAAGCAUUCCGCCUGGGGAGUACGGCCGCAAGGUUGAAACUCAAAUGAAUUGACGGGG
rnacentral:rRNA from 1 species